rnacentral:rRNA from 1 species
GACGAACGCUGGCGGCGUGCUUAACACAUGCAAGUCGAACGGAAAGGCCUCUUUCGGGGGGUACUCGAGUGGCGAACGGGUGAGUAACACGUGAGUAACCUGCCCUUGACUUUGGGAUAACUUCAGGAAACUGGGGCUAUUACCGGAUAGGAGCUCCUGCGGCAGGGUGGGGGUUGGAAAGUUUCGGCGGUUGGGGGUGGACUCGCGGCUUAUCGGCGUGGUGGUGGGGUAGUGGCUUACCAAGGCCUUGACGGGUAGCCGGCCUGAGGGGGUGAGCGGCCACACUGGCACCGAGAGAAGGCAGAGACGGCUACGGGAGGAAGCAGUGCGGAAGACUGCACAAUGGGUGGAAGCUGGAUGAAGAAGCGCCGCGUGUGGGAUGACGGUCUUCGGGUUGAAGAACGCUUUCGCUCAUAACGAAGCUUUGUGUGACGGUAGUGGGUAAAGAAGCACCGGCUAACUACGUG